rnacentral:ncRNA from 1 species
UUAAUUUGACUCAACACGGGGAAACUCACCAGGUCCAGACAUGGUAAGGAUUGACAGAUUGAAAGCUCUUUCUUGAUUCUAUGGGUGGUGGUGCAUGGCCGUUCUUAGUUCGUGGAUUGAUUUGUCUGGUUAAUUCCGAUAACGAACGAGACCUUUUCCUACUCGUUACUUGCUCAUGGGUUUUAUCUCAUGGCACGCAAGUUCUUAGCGGGACUGCUGGCGUUUAGCCAGAGGAAGUUCGAGGCAAUAACAGGUCUGUGAUGCCCUUAGAUGUUCUGUGNN